UUGAGCUGAGACAUCAGUCUACUUUCUCUUGCCCUUGGAUGGGAACUGACACUAUCAGCUUGCUCUCCUGUGUCUCAGGCCUUCAAACCUCACUGCAAUUUAUGCCAUCAGAUUUCCUGAGCCUCCAGCUCAGACGGUAGAGCGUGGGACUUCUCAUCCUCUAUAACCAGGUAAAACAUUAAAAAAAAAUUUUUUUAAAGAAACUGGAAAAGUCAUCCAGGAGAUCAAAUAUCGAAGAGAAAUCUCAAAAAGCUGCCAGUAGAAGCAAAAAAAACCCAGAAACGUUGCAACAGAUCAUAAUAGGGGAGAAGAGUAAAGAAAACAAACAGAGGAGCCUCUACACUGAGCAGCUUAGUGUUACCCAGCUCUUAGAUACCACUUGGAUUGUUAGCAUAUAUGCAUAUGGUUCAGUGUCUUCCUGCCGGCACUUUGGACCUAGAAGAUGCGCACUUCCUAGUAAAUGCUCAACAAACACCCGAGGAACUGAAUGUACCGCUUUGGAGCUGUUUGAACCCGAAGCCGGCAUCUCUCGUCCCCGAUGGUUGAGCUUCUCUUGAAAGCUUGCCAGGUCCUCGUGACUUUCCUUUGAGUCAUUUGCUCCUCUCCCCCACAUUUUCCAGGCUUAUUUUUUCCACUGACCUGAUGUUCUGAUGUGCCCCAUGCCUAUUCCUCAUUUGUCUUUACUUUCUGCUCUGUCACAAAAGCAAAAUGUGAAAUGAUCCAUGCUUUCAUUGGCACGGCUCGGUCUUGGGGUUUCGUUCCCCCCUCGCGAAACCAUUCAUGUGGAGGAAGCUUUUGAUCUAGGAUUCAGAAACUCAGUCACAUUUUACAUAACCAGAAACCGUGCUAGGUGGUUAUGUAAACUCUGGUUUUGACUUGAAUAGCCAGAGAAGAGUCUUUACAAUUUAGGUUAAAGCAUGUUGUCAGCUUCCAUUCAUUGCUGAUGGUCUGAAUGUCAAAGUUAUCCCACAUGGUGCCAUCAAAGAGACGCAUGAGUGUGUCAGGGGAGAAUAUGGAAAGACAAAAAAAUGUUUGCUAGACCCUUUUUGUGUGUGUGUAAUGUGUUGUUAUUAUCGUAUAAGAUGACUUGAGAAGAGAUCGAGUUUGCUCAUCUAGUUUAGUGAACAACUGCUAGAAAAGAGAGAAAAUAAAUAAAGCAUCCCGUGACAAAGCCAGGCACAGGGUCAACAUUCAGGGAAAGUGUGUUCAUUUGUAUUAAAAUGUCCAGGUGAGUGUGCACUUCUUUAGACACUGAUGAAGUAAGAAAUGUUUUGCUGUCGUAGAUUACCUUGUAUUUUGGCAAGGACUGCUUUCUGUGUAAACUUUUUUUUUUUAGUUUAUUUAUUUAUUUUGCAAGAGACAGCACAAGCAAGG